rnacentral:rRNA from 1 species
GGCACCAGUGGGGAAUAUUGGGCAAUGGAGGGAACUCUGACCCAGCGACGCCGCGUGCGGGAUGAAGGCCUUCGGGUUGUAAACCGCUUUCAGCAAGGAAGAAGCGAAAGUGACGGUACUUGCAGAAGAAGCACCGGCUAACUAUGUGCCAGCAGCCGCGGUAAUACAUAGGGUGCAAGCGUUGUCCGGAAUUAUUGGGCGUAAAGAGCUCGUAGGUGGUUCGUCACGUCGGAUGUGAAAAUCUGGGGCUUAACCCCAGACCUGCAUUCGAUACGGGCGAGCUAGAGUGUGGUAGGGGAGACUGGAAUUCCUGGUGUAGCGGUGGAAUGCGCAGAUAUCAGGAGGAACACCAAUGGCGAAGGCAGGUCUCUGGGCCAUUACUGACACUGAGGAGCGAAAGCGUGGGGAGCGAACAGGAUUAGAUACCC